UUGGGGCGAAGGACCCAGGUUCGUAACCGGAAGUUCAACUUUCGAUACAAAUAAACAAAAAUCUUGGAAAUCUUGAACAGAGACAAUACCCGGAGUUAAGAAGCAGUAGCCAAAAGAAAUCAUUGCUAAAUGUUAGCUUGCUGGUGGAUUUAAGCAAAUAUUAUCAUUAUCUGUAUAUAUCCGGCUAUAAAUUUUGCGUGUACCUACACAUUUGUGUACUAAAAAUUGUCCAGAGUCGUUCAUCACAGUGUCAUGUAUACAUUUUUUAGUUGCUACUACUCUCUAGCCUAGACUAGGUCGAUAUGGUAUGAAUAGUUCAGUUAAAUCAAGAAUUUAGCCAUAUGUAAACAGGCCACAGCUUGAAUUAUUGUUGUAAUAACUCAAUUAUAUACUAAUAUUACACUAUGUUACUAUCAACUGACUAUGGAUUUAAGUUUAAUAAAUAUAUAAAUCUGUAUACAUUGUGUAUAUACUAAUUUUGAAUUAUUUUUUUUUUAAAUUAUUGUAACUAUUAUCGACACAACUACAUGUAUGAGUAUACAUAAUUUUUAAUUGUUAUUGUUUCUUUGUACAGUCAUUUGGUUUUCUUAUGUCAAUGCUAUGUAGAAUGGUGGAACUAAUAUUUACUUUUUGUUGAGUUGUAGCACAAUGUUGGGUAGAUCAGUUAGAGACCUUGCUCGGCCACAGAACACGGCCAAGGGUUGUAACAGUUGGACCAGAGACUUGGACAACAAGGACACACUAGUUUUUACAGAUGGGUUACCAGACUGGACUGGAUUCACGACUCAUCACGCCACUAACUCAACUCCUUUGGUCACCUACAUUUGUACAUUGAAUCAUCAUCAGAUGUUAUUUAUGCCAACCCCUAGAGCUUUGCAUUGGUAUGAUCCAGUUGAGAAUUUUUCAGGUAAUCGUCAGAUUUACUAGUUAAAAGCAGUAUAUUACUUUUAAGUUAAACCCCCGCAUGUACAAAAUGUACAUGUGAUUACAACAUAUAACAAACAUAUUUAUAUAGAUUAAGACAACUUUUUCUAAUCUUAUG
rnacentral:lncRNA from 1 species